AAUCCAUGUUGUGGGCACCUCUCGCAAAGAUCCUUGAAGUGCUCCCCAUAUCUCAAAUAAUUAUUCCAAUUUCAUCUACACAAAUGACGAUAUCUCAUUUUGAAGAAU